CUGACAUUGGGUUCAUGGCUAGAAGAAACUAAGUCAUGAUGUGGUUCUCAUCACAUCACUAUGCACCCAUAAUAGAUGAUUCACGAUGUGGUUCUCAGCCACUUUUUAAUAGUGAAAAACAAAUUAAAAACUAUAGUGUAAAUUUAUCCCAGCAUUUGUUGCUCCACCUAUCCUUUUAGAAAUAGGAGUUAAGACCCGACUUCAUCUUCCGCAAGUGGACGGCAAGAAGCCAAGAACCUGUCCGCUGCUUCUCUGGUUCUCUCCCUUCUUCCUUCGGGCUCCCAGAGUACUCUGUAGCAGCGGUGCCCACCGUCGACCUUCCAUUUGCUGGUGAGGGGCGACUCCUCCACCCUUCCCCCGUCACGGCCAGAACAGAAGAUUAGGAUUUCGAUGGUCGGUUUGUGUGUAUGUGGAGAAUGGGUACCGACAGCACCACCGGCCAUCCGUCGUCGAUCUCUUGUUCGCCGGUGACUUACGGCCAUUCCCCAUCAGGUUUCAUGUGGUUAUUCGAUGAUUUUGAGAUGAUUUGCAGAAGGAGAUUAGCUGGUCAUAAUUAGUGCAGGAGGAAAACCC